rnacentral:rRNA from 1 species
UACGUAGGGGGCGAGCGUUGUCCGGAUUUAUUGGGCGUAAAGAGCUCGUAGGCGGCUUGGCAAGUCGGGUGUGAAACCUCCAGGCUCAACCUGGAGACGCCACUCGAUACUGCCAUGGCUAGAGUCCGGUAGGGGACCACGGAAUUCCUGGUGUAGCGGUGAAAUGCGCAGAUAUCAGGAAGAACACCCGUGGCGAAGGCGGCUCUCUGGAACGCAACUGACGCUGAGACGCGAAAGCGUGGGGAGCAAACAGG